AAGACUAAUUCGGACCAUCGGUCUACUGAGCAAUAUCAUCCGCUCUGUGGAAGAUCUUCCCUUCGUCGU
rnacentral:pre_miRNA from 1 species